rnacentral:rRNA from 1 species
CAAGUCGAACGGUAACAUUUCUAGCUUGCUAGAAGAUGACGAGUGGCGGACGGGUGAGUAAUGCUUGGGAACUUGCCUUUGCGAGGGGGAUAACAGUUGGAAACGACUGCUAAUACCGCAUAAUGUCUACGGACCAAACGGGGCUUAGGCUCCGGCGCAAAGAGAGGCCCAAGUGAGAUUAGCUAGUUGGUAAGGUAAAGGCUUACCAAGGCGACGAUCUCUAGCUGUUCUGAGAGGAAGAUCAGCCACACUGGGACUGAGACACGGCCCAGACUCCUACGGGAGGCAGCAGUGGGGAAUAUUGCACAAUGGGGGAAACCCUGAUGCAGCCAUGCCGCGUGUGUGAAGAAGGCCUUCGGGUUGUAAAGCACUUUCAGUUGUGAGGAAAAGUUAGUAGUUAAUACCUGCUAGCCGUGACGUUNACAACAGAAGAAGCACCGGCUAACUCCGUGCCAGCAGCCGCGGUAAUACGGAGGGUGCGAGCGUUAAUCGGAAUUACUGGGCGUANAGCGCACGCAGGCGGUUUGUUAAGCUAGAUGUGAAAGCCCCGGGCUCAACCUGGGAUGGUCAUUUAGAACUGGCAGACU